GUUAGGGCCCACAAUUGCAUUUGUGAUUGGAACUGCUCCUUGAGUUUUCCCACUGCUCUGAGAACAAACUGCAGGUUGUCCAAAUGAAAAAAACAUGGAGAUUUAAAGGGACAAAACCUUCCCAGGUCUGGAAAUGUUGUGUGUGAGAAUGUGUCUAUGUGUAAUCAUUUCCAGACCUGGAGGAUGAGACCCUCUAAUAACAAUUUUAAAAAAAUGGAGCUCAUUGGCUUGUGAAAAAGCUCCCUAAAAUAAUUAUAAUGAUUGGUUUGCAUGGAGAAAGCAUGAAAUGAAUUUUUUGUAUGUG